CCCACCUUUUCCCCACUUAGAAUCGUGCAGAAGGAUCUGGAGACGUCCUAGAGAGGUUUAGGGGCAUCCAGGGGGCUCUGGACUCAUGCAGAAGAGUCUGGAGAUGUCCAAGGAGGAUCCAGGGAGUCCCCAGGCCUGCCUGCAGCCGGUCCCGGUGACACCGGAGCCCUCCCUCUGGCGCUGUCACCAUCCUCUGUCCCGAGGACGGGAGGUGAACUGUGUGCCACCAGCAGAGGGGACCACGGGUGACAUCAGUGUGGAACAGCCGUGACGCGGCGGCGUUGUCAUUGGGUGUCACCGUCACGCAGAGGGGACAAAAGGACCCCCCUGGGGGCAUUGCGUCGAAGUUGGGGACACCGUGAGCAGCUUGAGGACUUCCCAGGGGAAGUGGGGGCACCGCGUCACCGUGUCACACCCCAAAGUUGGGGACACCUCUGUGUCACCCCAAUGGUGUCCGACCCCAAAGCUGGGGACACUCCACAGUGUCACACCCCAAAGUUGGGGACGCCCCGACAGUGUCACAUCGGGGUGGGGGCGGGGAGCACCCUUUAUUUUUGGGAUUAAGGUUUAUUUUGUGAUAACGGGGCGUUGGGGGAUGCCCCCCCCACGUGAAUAAAGGGCAGAGGAGCGGC
rnacentral:lncRNA from 1 species